rnacentral:other from 1 species
GCGACACUGCACGGUGCGACGGAGACUUCUAAAUUCCCCGGGGCCUUAUCGAUCCUCAAGGGAGCUGUACCUGACCAGGCCCGUGGGCCUGGACAAACGGCGCCCACCUACGUUGUAGGUUCCCGGGAUCGAAAACUCUGACGGCCGAGGCGGUUCGCC